rnacentral:rRNA from 1 species
AGUGAACGCUGGCGGUAGGCCUAACACAUGCAAGUCGAACGGCAGCACAGUAAGAGCUUGCUCUUACGGGUGGCGAGUGGCGGACGGGUGAGGAAUACAUCGGAAUCUACUUUUUCGUGGGGGAUAACGUAGGGAAACUUACUCUAAUACCGCAUACGACCUACGGUUGAAAGCAGGGGAUCUUCGGACCUUGCGCGAUUGAAUGAGCCGAUGUCGGAUUAGCUAGUUGGCGGGGUAAAUGCCCACCAAGGCGACGAUCCGUAGCUUGUCUGAGAGGAUGAUCAGCCACACUGGAACUGAGACACGGUCCAGACUCCUACGGGAGGCAGCAGUGGGGAAUAUUGGACAAUGGGCGCAAGCCUGAUCCAGCCAUACCGCGUGGGUGAAGAAGGCCUUCGGGUUGUAAAGCCCUUUUGUUGGGAAAGAAAAGCAGCAGGUUAAUACCACGCUGUUCUGACGGUAACCAAAGAAUAAGCACCGGCUAACUUCGUG